AAAUUAAAAAAAAGGUUGUUGACACCUUGUAACGACUUUGUACUAAAUUUUUAGGUGCAGAAUAUAAAAGUAUCAGCAUACUGUACAUAUUUUAUCAUAUUUUAGGUGUUGCAUACAAUGAUAUGAUGUGGGACUUGAAAAUACAGCUUUGAGAAGGAGAUCUGCUGAAUCUAUUGGCUUUAUUUCAAGCAUCACUUCCUUGGAUAAAUGAGAGUGUUGGUUGCUUCAUACAAGAAAUUUGGUUGCAAUUACAUCAUGUCCUGUUUUCCUUUGAACCACAAUUAGAUGCAAUGCUUACAAAAUAAUUUUUGGGUAUUUUUUAAUAAAGAUAGCUGCACCACAAUAAAUUUACAAUUGUAUACACAAAAUGUUCACUGUUAUUAAUGAACACUGGUGAAGUGUACAAUGGUUUCCAGCAAUACUUCUACCCCAAGUUUGGAAGGAAACUUAACAUAUUGUUACCCACAAAGAAUUAAAAUGCUCCAUUGCCCUGAGCAAGGAAGUACUAAAAGUUAUUUUUUUAUAAUAGAUAACACAUACACAUGAGAAAUUCGAAGAUUAGCAUGCAAUGACAUGAAUUUAGAGAUAUUAUUCAAACAGGCGAUAAAUAAUGAUUUUUCCAAUUUUAUCAUGUUAUUUACUACAAUUGGUUGUUUAAAAAUAAAUCUUUUAAUGCUCACUUUUCGGUGUACGUAGUAGCUAUGAAUUCAAUUAAAAGAAUAAAUAUUUUACACUAAUAGUAGUGGUUUAAAUUGCAAAAGUAAAGGGCACAUAUUAACUAAUUUUGGUGCUUUUAUAGCUAUGUAUAUGUAUUACUAUUUCCAAAUUAAAUUAUGUCCACUCCCACAGAUGAUAACUCUUUUUAUUGUUCCCUGUGCAGCUAUACAUGUACCAAACAUGAACAGUUAAAAAGACACAUGGUAAUGCACACAGGUGAGAAAUCAUUUAAGUGUUCCCUGUGCAGCUAUGCAUGUAAUAGGAAACUUAAUUUAAAAAACCAUAUGUUAACUCACACAGGUGAGAAACCAAUUAAGUGUUCCCUGUGCAGCUAUGCAUGUAAUUGGAAACAUAG